AUGGGUAAGGAAAAGGUUCAUAUUAACAUUGUGGUCAUUGGCCAUGUCGACUCUGGGAAGUCAACUACCACCGGUCACUUGAUCUACAAGCUUGGAGGUAUUGACAAACGUGUGAUUGAGAAGUUUGAGAAAGAAGCUGCUGAGAUGAACAAGCGUUCAUUCAAGUAUGCUUGGGUGCUUGACAAGCUCAAGGCUGAAAGAGAAAGAGGGAUUUCAUUAAGAAUGUGA